AAUUGCCCCCACGCCACGCGAGGCUGCGGCGGCUGGCCAGGGCGGGGCCUAGCUUUACGAUCUUGCUGACUCAGCGGGGACAGCCAGGGUUUCCCAGGUGCCCCCUUCCCGUGCUGGAUGGAUGCGCGCCCACCAGGUGCUCCCGAGCCCCCCCGCCCCCGCAAUGCUGAAACUGUCUUUAGAGACCUUUGCCUCUGGUCCUGACGUAAUGGCCCGGCAUCUUCAUCACCAUCCCACACCAUCCCCAAAAAAACGGUGGCUGAGUUAAAAAGCUGGGUGAUUAUGUUUGCUAACGCAAACUCAAACCGACCCCAUAGUCACCUUCCAACCACGCAGGCAUUCAACAGCCAUUUCAGCUGCUUCUGCCCGAGUCCUGCUCCUUACAUUUCCAGCCUAGGAGCCAAAAUCCAGGCAAAUUGGAAAAUCCAGGCGUCAGAAGAUGCACCUCCCACCUGAGGCCAGGCCCACUCUCACAGAAUUUCAUUCGUUCACGGGUUUCUGUGGUGUCUUCACCUCCCACCAAUGCUGCCCACCCAUGUUUCCAUGGCUAUGGGAAAGCAGUAUCCUCCAGUUUAAGGCCUAUAUCCUCAAGAAGUGCCUGUCUCCUUCCCUGUCCGAAGUGUUAGAAAUGGGAUAGUUUAGUCAAGUCUUCCUGCCAGCCCGCCUAACAAGAAAAAUCUAGGCGAUCUACCGGGCAGUCCCCACCCUCUCUACAGAGAGGACCUUUGCUGAGGCUGAUACAGGAGCUGUCUCCUGGCCCUGUCCUCUCCAGAGGCUGCAGCUUGGUCUUCCUCCUUGAUGGUCUCCCAUUAGACCUUCGUCCUCUUGUCUCUUCAUAAAACUUAGCAGAAGGAAAGAAUUGGUCCUAAAGUAAAGUUAGGUUGACUAACUUCUCAUCUCUCCAGUACUCUGUUGAGAGGAAACUUGGACCAGCUCCUCCACUCCACACCCAUCCCUGUGCUCCCCAAAAGGAGGCUUGCUGCUCCCCCACUGCUCCCAAGCACCACACUUUUCCCAGCCUGUGCCCAUCAAGACUUUUCUGUGUUCCUGAGCCCCAGUGCUCUCUCAUCUGUCUGCCCUUGAAUUCUCCUCUGCCAUAUCCAGCUUUGUCCUGCCUGGAAUGAAUUGAUGUACAUUUGAGUCUCAGCUCUAAGGUCACCUCCCUGGAAAGCGUCCUGGGAGAGGUCAGGUUCUUCUCUCUGCUGUGAUGCCACCCUCUCUUGGCUCUCACCCAACACUCUGGCUUGGAAGACCAUGAUCCUCUUAAAACAAAUCCAGCACAGCUCUGCUUCUCAAAGAGAGCAAGAAACACUCUAACUCUG